GGGCCCGCACAAGCGGUGGAGCAUGUGGUUUAAUUCGAUGCAACGCGAAGAACCUUACCUGGGCUUGACAUGGGAAUGGCAGGACGAGAGAUCGUCUUUUCUCUUCGGAGACAUUCCGCACAGGUGCUGCAUGGCUGUCGUCAGCUCGUGUUGUGAGAUGUUCGGUUAAGUCCGGCAACGAGCGCAACCCCUGUCCUUAGUUGUCAUCAGGUUAUGCUGGACCCUCUAAGGAGACUGCCCGGGUUAACCGGGAGGAAGGUGGGGAUGACGUCAAGUCCUCAUGGCCCUUACGCCCAGGGCUACACACGUGCUACAAUGGUCGGUACAGUGGGAAGCAAAGCCGCAAGGUGGAGCAAAUCCUCAAAGCCGUCCUCAGUUCGGAUUGGAGGCUGCAACUCGCCUCCAUGAAGCUGGAAUCGCUAGUAAUCGUAGAUCAGAAUGCUACGGUGAAUACGUUCCCGGGCCUUGUACACACCGCCCGUCAAGCCACGAAAGAAGAGAGCGCUCCAAGUCGCCAAGCUAACCUUUAUCGGAAGCCAGCGCCUAAAGCGAGAUCUUUGAUUGGGGCUAAGUCGUAACAAGGUAGCCGUAUCGGAAGGUGCGGCU
rnacentral:rRNA from 1 species